rnacentral:rRNA from 1 species
UACGAAGGGGGCUAGCGUUGUUCGGAAUUACUGGGCGUAAAGCGCACGCAGGCGGCUCGAUAAAUUAGAAGUGAAAGCCCCGGGCUUAACCUGGGAAUUGCUUUUAAGACUGUCGGGCUAGAAUCCAGAAGAGGGUAGUGGAAUUCCGAGGGUAGAGGUGAAAUUCGUAGAUAUUCGGAAGAACACCAGUGGCGAAGGCGACUACCUGGUCUGGCAUUGACGCUCAUGUGCGAAAGCGUGGGGAGCAAACAGG